GAUGAACGCUGGCGGCGUGCCUAAUACAUGCAAGUCGAGCGAACGGACGAGAAGCUUGCUUCUCUGAUGUUAGCGGCGGACGGGUGAGUAACACGUGGAUAACCUACCUAUAAGACUGGGAUAACUUCGGGAAACCGGAGCUAAUACCGGAUAAUAUUUUGAACCGCAUGGUUCAAAAGUGAAAGACGGUCUUGCUGUCACUUAUAGAUGGAUCCGCGCUGCAUUAGCUAGUUGGUAAGGUAACGGCUUACCAAGGCAACGAUGCAUAGCCGACCUGAGAGGGUGAUCGGCCACACUGGAACUGAGACACGGUCCAGACUCCUACGGGAGGCAGCAGUAGGGAAUCUUCCGCAAUGGGCGAAAGCCUGACGGAGCAACGCCGCGUGAGUGAUGAAGGUCUUCGGAUCGUAAAACUCUGUUAUUAGGGAAGAACAUAUGUGUAAGUAACUGUGCACAUCUUGACGGUACCUAAUCAGAAAGCCACGGCUAACUACGUGCCAGCAGCCGCGGUAAUACGUAGGUGGCAAGCGUUAUCCGGAAUUAUUGGGCGUAAAGCGCGCGUAGGCGGUUUUUUAAGUCUGAUGUGAAAGCCCACGGCUCAACCGUGGAGGGUCAUUGGAAACUGGAAAACUUGAGUGCAGAAGAGGAAAGUGGAAUUCCAUGUGUAGCGGUGAAAUGCGCAGAGAUAUGGAGGAACACCAGUGGCGAAGGCGACUUUCUGGUCUGUAACUGACGCUGAUGUGCGAAAGCGUGGGGAUCAAACAGGAUUAGAUACCCUGGUAGUCCACGCCGUAAACGAUGAGUGCUAAGUGUUAGGGGGUUUCCGCCCCUUAGUGCUGCAGCUAACGCAUUAAGCACUCCGCCUGGGGAGUACGACCGCAAGGUUGAAACUCAAAGGAAUUGACGGGGACCCGCACAAGCGGUGGAGCAAGUGGUUUAAUUCGAAGCAACGCGAAGAACCUUACCAAAUCUUGACAUCCUUUGACAACUCUAGAGAUAGAGCCUUCCCCUUCGGGGGACAAAGUGACAGGUGGUGCAUGGUUGUCGUCAGCUCGUGUCGUGAGAUGUUGGGUUAAGUCCCGCAACGAGCGCAACCCUUAAGCUUAGUUGCCAUCAUUAAGUUGGGCACUCUAAGUUGACUGCCGGUGACAAACCGGAGGAAGGUGGGGAUGACGUCAAAUCAUCAUGCCCCUUAUGAUUUGGGCUACACACGUGCUACAAUGGACAAUACAAAGGGCAGCGAAACCGCGAGGUCAAGCAAAUCCCAUAAAGUUGUUCUCAGUUCGGAUUGUAGUCUGCAACUCGACUACAUGAAGCUGGAAUCGCUAGUAAUCGUAGAUCAGCAUGCUACGGUGAAUACGUUCCCGGGUCU
rnacentral:rRNA from 1 species